AGGAUGAACGCUGGCGGCGUGCUUAACACAUGCAAGUCGAACGGUGAAGUAAGGAGCUUGCUCCUUGCGGAUCAGUGGCGAACGGGUGAGUAACACGUGAGUAACCUGCCCUUGACUCUGGGAUAAGCACUGGAAACGGUGUCUAAUACCGGAUACGACCUCCGAAGGCAUCUUCUGGAAGUGGAAAGAAUUUCGGUCAAGGAUGGACUCGCGGCCUAUCAGCUAGUUGGUGAGGUAACGGCCCACCAAGGCGACGACGGGUAGCCGGCCUGAGAGGGUGACCGGCCACACUGGGACUGAGACACGGCCCAGACUCCUACGGGAGGCAGCAGUGGGGAAUAUUGCACAAUGGGCGCAAGCCUGAUGCAGCAACGCCGCGUGAGGGACGACGGCCUUCGGGUUGUAAACCUCUUUAGUAGGGAAGAAGCGAAAGUGACGGUACCUGCAGAAAAGCACCGGCUAACUACGUGCCAGCAGCCGCGGU
rnacentral:rRNA from 1 species